GGCUGUCUGAAGAUAGUGAGUUAUCUCAAUUGAUUGUUCAUAGUUACAGACUGAACUCCUUGUUGUAUUCUUCCCCCACUUCUCACUAUUGCACUUGACUAGUCUUUA
rnacentral:Y_RNA from 1 species